rnacentral:misc_RNA from 1 species
AGGUCCUCCGCGCCGGCGAACUGCCGAUAGCUGUUGUAACUGCCGAUCAGCGAUCCACCGCCGCCAC